GAGUGUAUCUGUGCUGUAGGGUUUUUAUCUUUACAGAUCUUCUAAUGUUGUAAAUAUUAAAAAUGGUUAAAUGCCGAGUCUCAUUACCUCCAGCGUGUUACUAAAGUUCAGGACUUUACGGAAGUUAAUUUGGUAAACGGAAAUGAAUGUAUUUAUUAGUGUUUGUUUACUGGCUCGAGUCUACACUGUAAAAUGGAGGACGGCAGCUAUCAUGGAAGUUCUCUUUAUUCUCUUAUUUUCUCUUCAUCUUUCAUCAACAGACACACACUCUCUGCAGUACCUCUACACUGCCCUCACACCAGGAAUAAAUUUCCCAGAGUUCACUGCUGUUGGUCUGGUGGAUGGACAGCAGUUUAUGUACUACGACAGUAACAUCAGGAAGGUGAUCCCAAAGACAGAGUGGAUACAGAAGAUUGAAUCUGAUAAUCCAGAUUACUGGAACAGUGAGACAUCGCAUAUGCAGUCUCAACAGGAGAGUUUCAGAGUCACUGUGAACGCAGUAAUGCAGAGCCUUAAUCACUCUACAGGAGUUCAUACAUUACAAAGGAUGUACGGAUGUGAGCGUGGUGAUGACGGCACCACUAGAGGAUACGAUGAGUACGGUUAUGAUGGAGAAGAUUUCAUCAGUCUGGAUCUGAAAACUGGAACCUGGACUGCAGCUAAACCUCAAGCUGAAAUCCUUAUAAACAAGUGGGAUCCUACAGGAGAUAAGGCUAAAUACUGGAAAAGCUACCUGGGGGCUAAUUGUAUCGAUCGGUUACAGAAGUACAUGGUUUACAGCAGAGACACUCUGGGGAGGAAAGAUCCUCCUACAGUGUCAGUGUUCCAGAAACACUCUCCUCCAGAGGUGGUGUGUCAUGCUACAGGUUUCUUCCCCAAAACAGUGAUGAUCACCUGGCAGAAGGACAGAGAGGACGUGCAUGAGGACGUGGAGCUCAGAGAGACGGUACCCAACCAGGAUGGAAGCUUCCAGAAGAGAAGCAUUCUGACAGUCUCAGCUGAGGAUCUGCAGACACACACCUACACCUGCGUGAUUCAGCACAGCAGCUUGGAGAAGGAGAUAGUGCUGAAUGUGAGCAAGCAACCAAGUACAGAAGACACACACUCUCUGCAGUACCUCUACACUGCCCUCACACCAGGAAUAAAUUUCCCAGAGUUCACUGCUGUUGGUCUGGUGGAUGGACAGCAGUUUAUGUACUACGACAGUAACAUCAAGAAGGUGAUCCCAAAGACAGAGUGGAUACAGAAGAUGAAAUCUGGUAAUCCAGGUUACUGGAACAGUGAGACAUCGCAUAUGCAGUCUCAACAGGAGAGUUUCAAAGACACUGUGAACGCAGUAAUGCAGAGCCUUAAUCACUCUACAGGAGUUCAUACACUACAGAGGAUAUACGGAUGUGAGCGUGAUGAUGACAACACUAUUAGAAGAUAUGAUGUGUUCGGUUAUGAUGGAGAAGAUUUCAUCAGUUUGGAUCUGAAAACUGGAACCUGGACUGCAGCUGAAUCUCCAGCUCUGCUCUUUAUAAAGAAGUGGGAGUCUACGGGAGCUGAGGGUGUAGACCAGAAACCCUUCCUGGAGAAUGAGUGUAUUGAUGAGUUAAAGAAGUUUGUGUCUUACGGCAGAGAGAGUCUGGAGAGGAAAGUUCGUCCUACAGCGUCAGUGUUCCAGAAACACUCUUCUUCUCCAGAGGUGGUGUGUCAUGCUACAGGUUUCUUCCCCAAAACAGUGAUGAUCACCUGGCAGAAGGACGGAGAGGACGUGCAUGAGGACGUGGAGCUCAGAGAGACGUUACCCAACCAGGAUGGAAGCUUCCAGAAGAGAAGCAUUCUGACAGUCUCAGCUGAGGAUCUGCAGAAACACACCUACACCUGCGUGAUUCAGCACAGCAGCUUGGAGAAGGAGAUGGUGCUGCGUGAUAUUCGAAUCCUGAAUCCUGGUGUAGUUCCGAUCGGUAUCAUCGUUGGUGUAGUCGCGGCUCUCCUGGUUCUCGUUGCCGUUGUUGCUGGAAUUGUGGUCUGGAAGAAGAAGAACUCUGGCUUCAAACCUGUUCCACCCAAACCCGCCUCUGAAGGAGAUUUUUCCUCCAACAACUCUUAAAGUGGACUGUGUGUGUUCCCGCUGCACUGAGAGAGUAAGACAUGAUGUUGUUUACGGUGUAAUAUGGAAUAAAGAUCUGUGUGUGUUCCCGCUGCACUGAGAGAAGCUGAUCCUCUGGCUGUGCUGUUCUGUUCCACUGAGCUCGGCGCUGUAGGAUCUGCUUUUGGGAAAACUAGGUUUUGGAGUAAAGAUUCUCGGUGAUGGGAUCAUCACAAGAAAUAUAAAGAAAUCCUCUGCUAAAAAAGGACAAAGGACUGUUGAGGAAUCUGGUUUUGUAAUUGGAUGUGAUUUUCACAGUGAAUAAGUCUAGAAUUUACAAUUGUAAUGUGUAAAAUUUGGAGUCCAAUCUCUAAUGAAUUUGAACUCAUUUCAGUGAAAAACAUUUCAACUCAGCAACCUGUUACUAUGUUAGAUUAUUUAUGCUUCAGUCUUAUUUGUCAUCUGGUAAAUGUAAAAAAAUAAUAAUAAUAAUAAUAAUAGUUUUACUGCUGUCCAUCUACAAUGUGUGUAUUUCUGAAUUCCUUUCCAUAUUUCUCUCCCUCUUGUUCUCCUAUUUCACAGGAAAGGAGGUGCAGCUAUGUCUUCUUCUUCCUCUUCUUCAUCUUCUUCUUCUACUUCUGCUUUUAAUAGUAUUCAGCAUAGAAUGUAAUGCAUUCUAACUGGACUACAACGUGUAGCACUGGAAUACAUUCUUUAUAUCUGUGUUUUAUAGGGAGGGAUGAAUAAUAAUGUCCUGUAGUCCUUAGAAACUUUAUAUAUCUUGCUCAUGUUAUUCCUGAAAUUUUUUUUAUAAAAACUGGAAAAAGUAUUGAAAAUCAUACUCAAGUACAAGCACUGUUACUUACCAAAAAAUACAGAUUGGACAUAUAAUCACUACACAACACACUCCAAAAUCUAAAUCAUGUUUUUAUCAUAAGAAAAUACAGCUGUUAUUUGUCACCUAUACAUUUCAGUACAGGUAAAUCCUUUUCUUCACAUGUCCCAGCCUGUUAGUAUCUGGGAUCAGAAGGUUCCUUACCUGUUCUACUUACAGUUGGUGCUGAACACCUCUGCGAUGAUUGUAAUAAAUGUUACUUUGUCAAACCAUUAAUAAAUCUUUAUUUACUUUG